AUUGAACGCUGGCGGCAUGCUUUACACAUGCAAGUCGAACGGUAACAGGCCUUCGGGUGCUGACGAGUGGCGAACGGGUGAGUAAUGCAUCGGAACGUACCCAGAGGUGGGGGAUAACGCAGCGAAAGCUGUGCUAAUACCGCAUGUGAUCUGAGGAUGAAAGCGGGGGACCGAGCAGCAAUGUUUGGCCUCGCGCCUUUGGAGCGGCCGAUGUCGGAUUAGCUAGUUGGUGGGGUAAAGGCCUACCAAGGCGACGAUCCGUAGCUGGUCUGAGAGGACGACCAGCCACACUGGGACUUAGACACGGCCCAGACUCCUACGGGAGGCAGCAGUGGGGAAUUUUGGACAAUGGGCGCAAGCCUGAUCCAGCAAUGCCGCGUGCGGGAAGAAGGCCUUCGGGUUGUAAACCGCUUUUGGCAGGAACGAAACGGUGUCCGCUAAUACCGGGCGCUAAUGACGGUACCUGCAGAAUAAGCACCGGCUAACUACGUG
rnacentral:rRNA from 1 species